rnacentral:lncRNA from 1 species
GUAUCUGCUCUUUUAUUUUUCCUUCCAUCCCCAACUUCUAGAUCUAAAGUUUCCUCCUUCGCUCCUCCACUUCUCUUUCGAUCGAUGCUUCCUCCCAAUGGUGGUUGGGGCUCCUCUAUUCUUCCUUUGAUGGUCGGUGCUUGCAGUUUCCUUUCCAAUGAUGGUCGGAUAAACUGUGAAGCCCCUCCCCUCCCGUGGUUUCCUCUGGUUUCC